UGAGGAAUCUUGGACAAUGGGCGCAAGCCUGAUCCAGCCAUGCCGCGUGAGUGAUGAAGGCCUUAGGGUUGUAAAGCUCUUUUGCCGGGGAUGAUAAUGACCGUACCCGGAGAAUAAGCCACGGCUAAAUUCGUGCCAGCAGCCGCGGUAAUACGAAUGUGGCGAGCGUUGUUCGGAAUCACUGGGCGUAAAGAGUACGUAGGCGGUUUAGCAAGUCAGGAGUGAAAUCCCCGGGCUCAACCCGGGAACUGCUUUUGAAACUGCUAGACUAGAAGCUCGGAGAGGUUGGCGGAAUUCUCAGUGUAGAGGUGAAAUUCGCAGAUAUUGAGAGGAACACCAGUGGCGUAAGCGGCCAACUGGACGAGUAUUGACGCUGAGGUACGAAAGCGUGGGGAUCAAA
rnacentral:rRNA from 1 species